CUUUCCAGUGAGCUGGGUUUUCCUGGACUUUGGCCUCUUGGGUGCUGUAGUGUAACCAGUUAGUCCGGGUUAUCAAUCACAUUUAGCUGUGAUUUCUGUAGGUGAAGGAACAAUGAUUUUGUUUGUCUUCAGUGUGUUUAUCAUGUCCGCUGCUGGUCAGACAGAGCCUGUUGCAGAUCGAUCGUACGUUGCCGCCGUGUACGAGCACCACGUAAUCCUGAACCCGGAGCCACAUUCACCCGUGUCCCGCUCCGCUGCCCUGGAACACAUGCAGAAAAACCUGGAUGUCUACGAGGAGCAGGCUGCCCUUGCUGCUCAGCAGGUGGGAGUGGAUUUGACCUUUCCUCUGGAGGUGGAACAGUCCUUUUUGGGACCAUAGCCAGCUUGGACACACUGCUAGCAGAAGAUGGCCUGUCUGAUGACCACCUGCUGAUGUUCCACUUCAUCGACAUGAUCAUCGUGACUGCCUGGCUGCUCUACGAGACUGCUGCAGCAGCACUUGGAUGAGAAAAGAGGAACAGAAGAAGCUUCAUACGUUCAAGUCGUAUAUUGCAGAAAGCUUAUGCAAAAGUGACAAUAAUCUGGAGCAUAAGAGAGGUCGUCCCAGUUCCACAGUUGCUGGGGAGUAUGAAGAAAAGAGGAGAAGAGGACCCACUACAACCAUUCUGGUCCCUGAUGUGUGUCUGGACACCACAGCCCACUGGAUGGUCAUGGAUGAAAAGAAAGGGAGAUGCAAGGUACCUGGAUGCAAAGGCACACCUAAAGCCAAGUGCCAAAAAUGUGACGUCCACCUCUAUUUCACGUCCACCAGUAACUGCUUCCUGAGGUUCCAUACAGAAUAAUACAGACUGUGCUUUGUAAAAAAGAGAAGCAGUACCCCACAGGAACACACGUUCAGAAACACAAACACACACUGCAGCUAAUCUCUAACCCACUGACUGAUUAACAAUUUAUGGCUGAUGUUUAUUGAAAUAAAACUU